AGAUUCAUCUAUUUUCAACUCAAAAAGGGUCCCACUAGGAAAAACCCAAAGUUUUUUUUCUUGUUCCUUAAAAGUAACGCAAAAGUACUGUGAAGCUACGUUCAAUAAAAAGUCAUAGUAAAUACACGUAUACAUGUAAAUAUGCGGCCUUCUGCAUUCAAAACCCUCGUGAUCUUGUCGCCGCAAGUUUUCUGGAUUCAGUUCAAGCUAAUUUGCUGGCCCCCCGUGGCGGGGACGUCUCUUUCAAAUGUCUGCCCUAUCAACCUUCGAUGGUACUUUCUGUGCCUACCAUGGUGAUAACGGGUAACGGGGAAUCAGGGUUCAAUUCCGGAGGGGGGCCCAAGACACGCUACCACAUCCAAGGAAGGCAGCCGGAGCGCAAAUGACCCACUCCCGACUCGGGGAAGAAGU
rnacentral:ncRNA from 1 species